ACGCUCGACACCUACGGGAAGCAGCAGUGGGGAAUAUUGGGCAAUGGGCGCAAGCCUGACCCAGCAACGCCGCGUGAAGGAUGAAGGCUUUCGGGUUGUAAACUUCUUUUAUUCGGGACGAAGAAAAUGACGGUACCGAAUGAAUAAGCCACGGCUAACUACGUGCCAGCACGCCGGCGGUAAUCUGAGGCGGGCUGGACGAAGGC
rnacentral:rRNA from 1 species